ACGGGGGAGAGACACAGCGGACAGAGGAGAGACAGGUGAGAUGGAGGGGGGGACGGGGGAGAGAUGGGAGAGAGAGGUGAGACAUGGUGUAAUUUGUGUGUAGCUGCUGAUACAUGAUGAUGAACUAAAUGCUGCAGUUACACCCAGAGGACACCAGAGGGAGCCACCACACUACUGCUGCUGAUGCUGGUUAUACUGGUUUCACACCUGCAGUUAUACUGGUGGUACUGAUUUUAUUAGGUUGUAUACUGGUAGUACUGGUUUUAUUAGGUGGUAUACUGGUAGUACUGGUUUUAUUAGGUGUUAUACUGGUGGUACUGGUUUUAUUAGGUGGUAUACUGGUAGUACUGGUUUUAUUAGGUGGUAUACUGGUAGUACUGGUUUUAUUAGGUGUUAUACUGGUGGUACUGGUUUUAUUAGGUGGUAUACUGGUAGUACUGGUUUUAUUAGGUGGUAUACUGGUAGUACUGGUUUUAUUAGGUGUUAUACUGGUGGUACUGGUUUUAUUAGGUGUUAUACUGGUGGUACUGGUUUUAUUAGGUGGUAUACUGGUAGUACUGGUUUUAUUAGGUGGUAUACUGGUAGUACUGGUUUUAUUAGGUGUUAUACUGGUGGUACUGGUUUUAUUAGGUGGUAUACUGGUAGUACUGGUUUUAUUAGGUGGUAUACUGGUAGUACUGGUUUUAUUAGGUGUUAUACUGGUGGUACUGGUUUUAUUGGGUGUUAGUUAUACUGGUGGUACUGGUUAAACUGGAGUACAGCUGGUCUACAGUGUGUUUCCUCGGCUGAUUCUGAUUGGCUCCUGAAACUACUGAGUCAUGAUUCUGAUGUUGAAGCCUUUCUGCUCCAGUUGUUCCCCAGCUCAGUGUGUACUGAGUUUGUAUUAUGUGUGUUCUAUGUGUGUACUGUGUGUACAGUGUGUACUAUGUGUGUACAGAGUGUGUUCUAUGUGUGUUCUGUGUGUACAGAGUGUGUACUGUGUGUGUUCUAUGUGUGUAGUGUGUGUGUACAGAGAGUGUACUAUGUGUAUUCUAUGCGUACUGUGUGUACUGUGUGUGUACUAUGUGUGUACUGUGUGUAUUGUGUGUACUGUGUGUGUACUGUGUGUAUUGUGUGUACUGUGUGUGUACUAUGUGUGUACUGUGUGUAUUGUGUGUACUGUGUGUGUACUGUGUGUAUUGUGUGUACUAUGUGUGUACUGUGUGUAUUCUAUGUGUGUACUGUGUGUAUUCUAUGUGUGUACUGUGUGUCUGUGGAUCUUUUUCCACAGCAGAGUGAAAGCUGAGUCAGCUUCAUCUCCAGCUGCCACUCAUACACACAAAUAGAAUAUUAAUACACACAAAUGUAGUGCUGAAAUACAUAAACAAGGUACUAAUACACAUAAACACAGUAUUAAUACUUACAAAAGGUGUUAAUUCCUCUAAACAAAGUACAAAUACAUCUUUACACAUACCAGUACUCCUAAACAUAAGUACACAGUACUAGUAAGUAUAAACACAUUAUAAACGUGUAAAUGCAGUACUAUUACUUCUAAACAGCAGCACCCAGAACUGAUACAGAAUCAAUAUAUCAAUAAACUGAUUGAUGUCACAGAAACGGACUGAUCAGAGUCAAUGUUCAGACUUCAACUCUAGAAACAGAAGAACCAAUAGAAACGCUAGAACAGGAGCUUCUAGAGGAGCUUCUGGAGGAGGUUCUUUAGAUUCUAGAGGAGGUUCUUUAGAUUCUAGAGGAGGUUCUAGAGGACGUUCUUUAGAUUCUAGAGGAGGUUCUAGAGGAGGUUUUAGAGGAGGUGUUAAGGAGCUUCUAGAGGAGUUUCUAUAGGUUCUAGAGUAGUUUGUAGAGGUUCUAGAUGAUCUUCUAUAGGUUAUGAUGAUCUUAUAGGUUCCGAUGAUCUUUUAUAGGUUCUAGUGGAGCUCCCUGAACCAUGGAUCAGCUCAGAGAUCAGACAGUGAUGAACAGCAUCGUUGCAGUGACUGGAAGUCACAUUAGUUACAAACCCUCAGCCUCAGGCAUCUCACCGAGUCUCAGCUCACAUCUAAACACUGCUGCUAACACUGUAGCUAAUGCUGCUGCUAACACUGCCACUACUACUGCUGCUGC